rnacentral:rRNA from 1 species
GAUGAACGCUGGCGGCGUGCUUAACACAUGCAAGUCGAACGGUGAAGCUCCAGCUUGCUGGAGUGGAUCAGUGGCGAACGGGUGAGUAACACGUGAGCAACCUGCCCCUGACUCUGGGAUAACAGCCGGAAACGGCUGCUAAUACCGGAUAUGCACCAUGAACGCAUGUUCUGUGGCGGGAAAGAUUUUUCGGUUGGGGAUGGGCUCGCGGCCUAUCAGCUUGUUGGUGAGGUAAUGGCUCACCAAGGCGUCGACGGGUAGCCGGCCUGAGAGGGUGACCGGCCACACUGGGACUGAGACACGGCCCAGACUCCUACGGGAGGCAGCAGUGGGGAAUAUUGCACAAUGGGCGAAAGCCUGAUGCAGCAACGCCGCGUGAGGGAUGACGGCCUUCGGGUUGUAAACCUCUUUUAGCAGGGAAGAAGCGAGAGUGACGGUACCUGCAGAAAAAGCGCCGGCUAACUACGUG